rnacentral:rRNA from 1 species
AUACAGAACCAUACCACCCUGAACGCGCCUGAUCUCGUCUGAUCUCGGAAGCUAAGCAGGGUCGGGCCUGGUUAGUACUUGGAUGGGAGGCCUCUUGUCUUUUUGAUA